CGGUCUGCGGGGGACAAAGAGAUCAUCAGGGAAAACCUUUGGAAAACUUUGGUCCUCCUCAAAACUUACAUGGAUGUUGUGGGCGUGCACGGACGUGUCACUGGAGCCGCUGAAGACGAGGUCAUUAACCACCUGGAAAAACGACAAAAGACGACACCUGCAUGACUAAACGUUUAAUUUUUCUCACCUCAACAUCCUCAGAACCUAGAAUCCAUGACAGGAUCUGAUCACCUUCAUGCAGAGGACAGUCUUGGUGUGGCCCUCCAGUGAGCGCAGCAGGAGGCCGCUCUUAGCGUCGCGGACGCUGAUGGUGCUGUCGUACGACCCGACCAGCAGCAACCGCCGGGCGCCCUCCUGAGCCGUGCCCAGACAGCUCACCCCGCGGGGGCCGUGGCACUCGAACACGUCCAGCUCCUUCAGAGUCUAAACGGGGAGGACGCAGGAAGUUCAUAGAUGUGACCGAACAUGCUUGUGCCAAACUUAGUCGUUGUGAUGCAUAUUUAAAGGCAAAAGUACAGGAGUUGGUUAAUGAAUUUGGGGUGCUUUCCUCUGCAAAAAAACUCCUAGUUCUGACUGAGGAAGACGGAGAGAAAUAAAGGUACGGAUGCCAUGAAUUUGACAGAUCUAUGAUAUGAUUAAUUUAAAUUUUUUUACUGACAAGUCAUAAUAUUUUAUUAGAUAACAAAUGUGUUUCAAUAUUAGGCCUUCAUGAUAAAUUAUUUUAAUAUAUUAGAGAUCUAUACUACUAAUAGAAGGCGAAAAAAGCCCAUAUGUGCCUGUAAGAUUCAGCAGAGACACAAAAUUCUUCCAUUUUGUCAAAAAUCAGAAUUCUACAUGAAACUUUACGGUCAACAAUGCGGUCGCAGAUUUAAAAAAAAACAAAAA